AUUACAUCAUUUCCGCUACAUGCGCUAACAGUUCUACUAUCAUAUUUCCCUGACUGAUUAAUUUGAAAAAUUGACUUGUACAGGUAGAAAUCAGGACGAACCGGAUUGCAGACCAACAUUUAAGAUAAAGGGACUAGAAAAAGAAUAUAUAAAGCAGCUAUUAUCAUCAAAAUGCAAAUCUUUGAACAUUGUAAUGGGAGCGGAUAUUAUAGAUGAUUUAAUAAAAACGAGUACUAUAAGGGAAAACAACACCAAUCCAUAUACACUUGAUCAAAGGAAUAAACCAGCUUUAAUUCGGUUAAAGAAAGCUGGUAUUCUUCCAAACCUACAGGACAGUCCAACAAAGUUAAUAAAGAGUCGCUCCGUAAAACAAGAAGAAAUGAGAUUUAAUAAAAAUCUCAUGAAGAAAUAUCAUGUAAAACAAGAGAAACUUUUACAGCUAUUGAUUACACACAGAAUGCUGACGUUACCAUGGAACACUUCUUUGGACAAUUUAGGUUUUAUCGUAAGGGACAAUGGAGAUAGUAUUCCAACUGGCAUGUUUUGUAACAUUUUAGACAAAUGCACCAUGGUUUGCUUCAAUAACACAUUUCAGAACUGCGAUGCUCAUACGUUGUGUAGUGAUAUUUUUGCUCUUCGAUCUAUAAUGGAUAUGUGUAUUGAAAAUGAUUUAAUCAAAAUUGACAAGUAUGAAGUCUGGAAAAAACAUGUACAUGUACUUGCAUCUUUUGGGGUUCUAUGUUGUGUAUUUAACUUCAAUUUAGAGUAAUUUAUGUUCAUCAAAUAUUUGAAGCUAGAAAUAUUUUAGAAUAAAUAUAAAAGAUGUUGAACGUUUUAAUUUCACUUUGUCAAAAGAGUCGAAAUGAGCUUUUCACGUCAAAGUUGUUUGUAGUCUACUUUAGUCAUACUGUACAUGACUGACCUUCAUUCAUUUCUUAAUUUGGCGUAUAAAUAUGUGCAUGGGUUAGAUUCGGUAAUUCGGUUUUCACACAUAUAUAUCUUUCGAUUUCGCACUUUUUCUCUUGUCGAGAAAAAAUUACUGAUCAGAUCGACACGUAUACUGACCUUGUUAUAAUGAGUGAACCUGAACCGGAAUCUCCUAUACGAAUUGAACGCAGUGAAGAACGUGAAGGGUCUACUUUUCACCUGAAGAUGCAUUAUCGCUGUUUACCCAGAGCCUUGAUUUGACAUUGAAAAAGCACAAAGAAGAGCUAUUCAAGGAGAUUGACACGAGAAUUGGUGCUAAAGAAGUUGAAUUUUUCCUCCGGUAAAACAGACUCCUAAAUUCAGGUACGACGCUAAUGAAAGAGAAUUUAGUUUUAACGGAGAACGUCUAGUAGAACUUGAAAAGACCCUUAAUUUCAUAGAGAAAGACUCUCCGGCUUUAGCCAUUCAUUGUCUAGAAAAAAAAGCCCUGAAGGAAAGAAAUAAAAUUCUACGAAUAGCCGACAAAUACGGUUGGGACGUCGUGGACAAAUAUAUAGACGAUCCAAUUACAGAGGGGGCCGAAGACGCAACUAAGUUACGACAAGCCGACUACCGGGCUAAAGCAAAGAGACGAGACAGAGUAAGGACCCGUUCUGCUCCUUAUAUUCCAGAACCUGAGAGGGCUCCAUUAGUGACUCAUGAUGAGCCUUUUCGUAAAACUUCAUCAACAUCUACAAGCGAAGCACCUAGAAACUACAAAUACCCGACUGGACAAGGAGCACAAACCCGCACAGGACCUCGCACCGGUAUCUUUUACCAGUUCACAACCAACAGAGAGGUGUUACUACUGCAAUGGCGAGGGUCACUGGGCCUAUCACUACCAGCCGAGACCAGUGGUUCUUCAGGAGCAAAGUGAUGAAACAUUUAGAUUCAAACAUUCGCAUUGGGAAUCCUUUAAGCAUUUUUCAAAUCCUGACUUGAAAGCUCUAACAGUUUCUUUAUCUUCAGUAGUUACUGUUUCAAAAAAUUAGAAUACUUUGAAGAAAUAUAAUUGAUACUUUAAAAGAUUCAAAUACUGGUGCUUAAAGUACAAUCUGCCGUUUUUGCCUACCACCGUUUAUCCUGUUGCUAUUUAUCUUAACUACUUGAUUCAAUCUGGAGUUUCCACUUCCGUUUUAAACUCAGCGUAUUAUUCAUUUAAGUGGGAACACGAUCUUUAUUUAUACGACAGUAUAUUAAAUGACAAAUUACUAGACAUGGUACUAGAAGAUGGCAUAAGAUUGUUAUCUAAACCUUUGAAAAGGAAAGAACCCAUCACCCCUGCGAUUUUGAAGAGUAUUAUUGCAAAAUUCGACAACAAUGACAAUUUGCUAGGGUUGAGGAUCUGUGCUAUGAUGCUGUUAGGUUUUUCCGGGUUUCUAAGAUACGAUGAGUUGGCACACAUCCGAUCUUCUGAUUCAACGUUCAACGAUUCUCAUCUACAAAUUAACAUUCAAAGAAGUAAGACGGAUAGAUAUCGACAGGGUAACAUUAUUUUAAUUUCUAGAACUGGCACAGACCUUUGUCCAGUUUCUAUGCUACAGAAAUAUUUUCGCGUGGCAAGUUUGCCCGUUGGAAGCGACGAAUACAUCUUUAGAGCUUUGUCGCACUUCAAGUCUAUUGAUAAGCACAAACUAGUCUGCAAGAAUAGGCCUUUAUUUUACACUCGAACUAGGGAAAUUGUUUUAGAUGCACUUUCUGACAUAGGUCUAAAUAUAUCUCUAUUUGGCCUACAUAGUUUAAGGAGCGGGGGUGCUACAGCAGCUGCUGGGAAUUCUGUUCCGGACAGGCUUUUGAAAGCUCACGGUAGAUGGAAGACAGACAAGGCUAAAGAUGGUUACAUUAAAGAAAAUUUAGAAAAUAGACUUAAAAUUUCUUAAAAUCUGAGAUUAUAAUUUUGUGAUUAGAAGAUCCUACCUUCCUUUGUUUUGAUCAGUGCAAUUUCUCAUCUCA